CGAGCCGGGCGGGCGGCCGCGUCAAGAUCACCGAUCUUGCCGAGGAACGUCCGGGCUCCACACAGCAGGGUGGUGGGUAACGCCCACCCGGGGUGACCCGCGGGACAGUGCCACAGAAAACAGACCGCCCGGCGCUUCGGCGCCGGGUAAGGGUGAAACGGUGGUGUAAGAGACCACCAGCGCCCGAGGUGACUCGGGCGGCUAGGUAAACCCCACCCGGAGCAAGGUCAAGAGGGGUCGUCGGUUGACGGCCCUGCGCGGACGUCCGAGGGCUGCUCGCCCGAGUCCGCGGGUAGACCGCACGAGGCCGGCGGCAACGCCGGCCCUAGAUGGAUGGCCGCCUCCCCGGCCGCCGCGAGGCGACCGAGAGACAGAACCCGGCGUACAGCCUGACUCGUCUG
rnacentral:RNase_P_RNA from 2 species